rnacentral:rRNA from 1 species
UACGUAGGUGGCAAGCGUUGUCCGGAAUUAUUGGGCGUAAAGCGCGCGCAGGCGGUCCUUUAAGUCUGAUGUGAAAGCCCACGGCUCAACCGUGGAGGGUCAUUGGAAACUGGAGGACUUGAGUGCAGAAGAGAAGAGUGGAAUUCCACGUGUAGCGGUGAGAUGCGUAGAGAUGUGGAGGAACACCAGUGGCGAAGGCGACUCUUUGGUCUGUAACUGACGCUGAGGCGCGAAAGCGUGGGGAGCAAACAGG